GAUUUUCAAUAAACAUAAAAAUUCAUCCACUCACCGAUAUCCUCGAUAAGCAACAAAACACCAAGAAAUCUUCGAAGAUCUUUUUUCGUCAGAUCUAUGGUGUAUAUAAGUUCGUCAGGGACCAGCGUGGCAAUAAUUCUAACUUGUCGCAGAUUGGCAUUGCUGCCUUUGAAGACUGGACCAAAUAAAUCUGGCGUCCAAGAAAGGUCAUCUUUACUUUUCCUCCUGUCCAUUUUCAUUUGCAAUGAAAUGCCGGAGCUAUUUUUUUUGCAGUUUUGACAAUUUUCAUCGAUUUUCGACUGUCGUUUUUUUUCUGUUCCUAUCAACAUUGGAUCAGGAUUGGUCAUAUUACAUAUAAGAGGGAAUGUCAGUUAUUACGUAGUCCUAAGCUAUUACUACGCUAUACAUAACAUAGGUAAAUCCAUUUGAUUGGACUUGUCGUGACCUGCAGCCGAUGAUUUCGCAUUAACAAAGCGAGUCGUGAGCCGAAGUGAAGGCAAUAAACGAUCAAUAGAUUGUCCGACGAUCGAUCAUCGAUCACGAAUUCACAAGUAAUACCGUCAUUAAAUUCAUCCUCGAGGAAUCAUUAAAGUUGCAUAUCCAGCAAAGAAAAGAGGAUCAUAACGUUGGAGCUAGUGGCGCCAUCUUCAAGUUUUGUCAUUAAGAAAAAUGAAACUUUAAAGAAAUAAAAAAAUUAAGCUUGAGAUUUAAGAACGCGCGUAAAAGUUGUUCAAAUUGAAAAACAUAAAAUUAUUAUUAAAUUUCCAGAAUGGCUGCUCGAGUCACAACUAAAAUACGAAUUUCGUGUUCGACAUCCAGUGGAAAAGGAAUAAGGAAGAUUUCUUCAAGUAUGAAAGAUGGCGCCUGAUCCUCACAGAUUGCAAGAAAAAAGCGAGGAAGAGACAAAGUUAUGAUAAAGAAACGAAAAAAAGUAUAAUCGCCGAGCAAAUUCCUGCCGGACGUUGUUGAAGACAAGUAAAAAAGCUAACGAACGAAAAGUGGACAAGGCCACAAUGAAUUAAUACCGAACGUGGAAGAAUGAUCCGCUGAUAUUGAAUCUCAAUGAAUUCGCGACGAACUCCGUCCGAGAUAAUGAUAAUCCAGAAGGACGUUCGGAAUGUAACAGCCAUAUUGUGGAUGAU